UACGUAGGUGACAAGCGUUGUCCGGAUUUAUUGGGCGUAAAGCGCUCGUAGGCGGUUCGGUAAGUCGGGUGUGAAACCCCUGGGCUCAACCCGGGGACGCCACCCGAUACUGCUGUGACUCGAGUCCGGUAGGGGAGCGGGGAAUUCCUGGUGUAGCGGUGAAAUGCGCAGAUAUCAGGAGGAACACCGGUGGCGAAGGCGGAUCUCUGGGCCUUACCUGACGCUCAGGCGCGAAAGCUAGGGGAGCGAACAGG
rnacentral:rRNA from 1 species